GACGAACGCUGGCGGCGUGCCUAAUACAUGCAAGUUGAGCGCUGAAGGUUGGUACUUGUACCAACUGGAUGAGCAGCGAACGGGUGAGUAACGCGUGGGGAAUCUGCCUUUGAGCGGGGGACAACAUUUGGAAACGAAUGCUAAUACCGCAUAAAAACUUUAAACACAAGUUUUAAGUUUGAAAGAUGCAAUUGCAUCACUCAAAGAUGAUCCCGCGUUGUAUUAGCUAGUUGGUGAGGUAAAGGCUGACCAAGGCGAUGAUACAUAGCCGACCUGAGAGGGUGAUCGGCCACAUUGGGACUGAGACACGGCCCAAACGCCUACGGGAGGCAGCAGUAGGGAAUCUUCGGCAAUGGACGAAAGUCUGACCGAGCAACGCCGCGUGAGUGAAGAAGGUUUUCGGAUCGUAAAACUCUGUUGGUAGGGAAGAACGUUGGUGAGAGUGGAAAGCUCAUCAAGUGACGGUAACUACCCAGAAAGGGACGGCUAACUACGUG
rnacentral:rRNA from 1 species